AGUGAACGCUGGCGGCAGGCCUAAUACAUGCAAGUCGAACGGCAGCACAGCAGAGCUUGCUCUGUGGGUGGCGAGUGGCGGACGGGUGAGGAAUACAUGGGAAUCUGCCCAGUCGUGGGGGAUAACGUAUGGAAACGUACGCUAAUACCGCAUGCGCCCUAAGGGGGAAAGCCGGGGACCGCAAGGCCUGGCGCGAUUGGAUGAGCCCAUGUUCGAUUAGCUAGUUGGCGGGGUAAAGGCCCACCAAGGCGACGAUCGAUAGCUGGUCUGAGAGGAUGAUCAGCCACACUGGAACUGAGACACGGUCCAGACUCCUACGGGAGGCAGCAGUAGGGAAUAUUGGACAAUGGGGGCAACCCUGAUCCAGCCAUGCCGCGUGAGUGAAGAAGGCCCUCGGGUUGUAAAGCUCUUUUGUCCGGAAAGAAAAGCAAUCGGUUAAUACCCGGUUGUUCUGACGGUACCGGAAGAUAAGCACCGGCUAACUUCGUGCC
rnacentral:rRNA from 1 species